AACGAACGCUGGCGGCAGGCUUAACACAUGCAAGUCGAACGGGCGUAGCAAUACGUCAGUGGCAGACGGGUGAGUAACACGUGGGAACCUUCCUAGGGGUACGGAACAACUCAGGGAAACUCGAGCUAAUACCGUAUACGUCCGUGAGGAGAAAGAUUUAUCGCCCUUAGACGGGCCCGCGUCGGAUUAGGUAGGUGGUGGGGUAACGGCCUACCAAGCCUUCGAUCCGUAGCUGAUCUGAGAGGAUGAUCAGCCACACUGGGGCUGAGACACGGCCCAGACUCCGACGGGAGGCAGCAGUGGGGAAUCUUGGACAAUGGGCGCAAGCCUGAUCCAGCCAUGCCGCGUGAGUGAAGAAGGCCUUAGGGUUGUAAAGCUCUUUUACCAGGGACGAUAAUGACGGUACCUGGAGAAUAAGCCCCGGCAAACUUCGUGCCAGCCGCCGCGGUAACAC
rnacentral:rRNA from 1 species